UGCCCCAUGGCUGAGUUGGUUACAGCGUCCGACUGUUACCUUCAAGGGACCAUCGGAAGGUCGUGAGUUCAACCCUCACUGGGGCAG
rnacentral:tRNA from 1 species